CCCCUGGUGGGUGGCCAGGAGGAGGAGAGUGCAGAAAGAAAGGAAAAACUUUCAGGUGGCAAGCCUUUUUUCCUGGUAGAUACCUGGAAAGGCCUUUACAUCCAGAAACAGUACUAUUCCCGCUAAGAAUAGUUGUUUUGUGCUCAAUAUGUGUCUGGUACCCAGAUGCGUGCAGAUGUCCAGCCGUGGCUGCAGCAGAUUCAUGGGUUUAAAACACAAUCCGCGGUCCCACUCCAGGUCUUCUGAAUCUCCAGCGUGGGGCCUGGGAGACUGCGUUUAAUGUGGGCCCUGGGGAAUUCUUGAGCUCAGCGCUUCUGAGGAAACACUGACCUUUUCUGAGCCCUGAAUGAGGCUGCCCAGCACUGACAUUCAUUCAUUCGUUCAUUUGUUUAUUUGCUGUUUACGGAACAUCCACCGCAUUCACUGACCCACCCGCUCUAUUCCCCUCAGGAUCACUGGUCACGGUUCCCGAGUCCGCCUCCGAGCCCUAAUCGUCCCCUCCCUGCCGCCGUUCUGUCUUCGCCCUCCAUCCCUCCAACUGGCGUCAGCUCUUUCUCGCCUAGGCUUGGUCCCCAGGGAGCUCGGUGGACGGGAGACCCUCCCAAGCCCCGCCCUCGCCGGGGCAGCCGAGCCCACCUCCCCAGCCCGCGACUGCGCUCUGGGCCCCGCGCGCCCCGCCCCCACCGGCGUCCUGCGCUGAAGCUGCUCGGAGGGGCUCAGGCUUCGACCGCAUCGCCCCGGUUGCCGCUGCCCGCCGGGCAUCCCAGCCCUUCGGCGGAGAGGCGGAGCCGGAGGCUGGGGUGUGGGCUCCAGGUGGCCUCUGGGAAGGAUGAAGCAGGCCCUGGUGGACGAUACUGAGGAUGUGUCCCUGGACUUUGGCAACGAAGAGGAGCUGGCCUUUCGGAAAGCCAAGAUCAGGCACCCGUUGGCCACUUUUUUCCACCUGUUUUUCCGGGUGAGCGCCAUUGUCACCUACGUGUGCUGUGACUGGUUCAGCAGAAGCUUUGUGGGCUGUUUUGUCACCGUGCUUCUCCUCCUGUCCUUCGACUUCUGGUCAGUGAAGAAUGUAACUGGACGACUCAUGGUGGGCCUUCGCUGGUGGAACCAGAUAGAUGAAGAUGGGAAAAGCCACUGGAUUUUUGAAGCCAGAAAGGUCUCUCCAAAUAACACGGCUGCCACGGAAGCGGAAGCAAGGGUCUUCUGGCUCGGCCUCAUUAUCUGCCCGAUGAUCUGGAUCGUGUUCUUCUUUAGCUCCUUAUUUUCCUUGAAGCUCAAGUGGCUGGCCCUUGUGAUAGCUGGGAUCUCUCUCCAAGCCGCGAACCUGUACGGCUACGUCCUGUGUAAGCUGGGAGGCGAGAGUGACAUCAGCAAGGUCACAGCCAGUUUCCUGUCCCAGACGGUGUUCCAGACGGCCAGCCCAGGCGACUUUCAGAAGCCUGGCCUCGAGGGCCUGGAGAUUCACAAGCAUUAGGCUGAUUUUCCGAGGCAGUGAAGGCUUCAGUGAGAGGUUCUGUAAUCAGGUGAGCUUCUUACAUGACCCGCAGGCCACUGGUUUUCCACGUGAGGCUACAAAAGUCCUGGAUUCCUGGAAGACAGGACGCAGGCACAGAAGCAUGGACGGCUCGUCAGCCUCUCAGGAGGCCCUGCCCUGGGCUGGCGAGGCGGCAUCUGGGUGGGGCAGGGCCCCCAGAGGGCUUAAUCCCCCAAGAAGCCCUGUUUCAGCUGAUGCCCUGAACCUUCGAAAGCGAGCGGGGUACUGCCGGCUGCCCACCGUGGUCAUCACCACACGCGGGAGGCCUCACGCCAGCACGUCCUGCAGAUCGGGACUCCCAGAGAUGGUGUCAUUUCCCCUCCGCACCGUCUCACCGGGCCAGCUCUACUGAGGUCUCCUUCCUAUACCGCAGUCUUCACUUGCACCGUGCUUUCUGAACUGUGCUACAGUUCACGAUGCUGACGUACUGGAAGAUUUCUCACAGGCUCCUGGCUUCCAGGGCUGAGGGGGUCGUCCCAGACCCCACUCCCCCCACUGUCCCCAGCCGAGGCUGCACGGCAGUGCCAUUUACGAUCCUGAGUGGGAUCGCCUCAUACCCAGCCCACUGCUCAUUCAUGUCACGCCCUGGCCCGGUGGCCAUCUGGAUUCACAGACUGACUUGAACACUUACUCUGAAUUAUACUUCUGUAGGCUACAGUAGCUGGUGAAUCCGGUGCUUCAACGAAAAAAGACUGUCCUUUGUCGCAACUUUUACCUUAAAGAAGUGAAAGGAAGUUAACUCCAUGAAGGAGCCACCACGGGGACAUGAACCCGGGGCUCUUUCUGUGCCUGGGGCGCUAUGGCGAUGUGAGCCCACCUCGCUUGGCGUCUCCAGGACCUGGCUGGCCUCCCUCCACCUGGCUCGCAUCUCCUCGCGGCUCUGGCCGCUGCCCUCCUGUGGUGUCCCUGUAAGUCACCUGGAAUAUGCAGCACAUGCAAGCUCCAGGCCCCCUGAAGGAUGGACUGGGUAGCUCCCGGGUGGGCCCAGGAACCUGCAGGUCAAAGAUCAACCUAUUCCUUGGGUAAAAGAUAAUGACUGCACACGGGAAUAGAGCAUGGGAUGUAAAAGGUCACACGUGAAAAGUGAGUUCAAAAGAAAAGUGAGUUCAAAAGAGGCUACCAGUGUUUCAGGUGUCUUUCUAGAAAUAGUAUAUGCAUGUAAACAUGGCACGUAUACACAUUACACACUCACGCACUUAAAGCAACGAAUGGGUGUGUACGGUGCACACGUUCAGCCAUUGCCACCUCCGUGUGUAACUAUCUGGAAGGUCGUUCCACAGUGGCAUCGAUCUUGGCUAGUCUGUCUCAAGCCUGUCCACUCCAGUGCCUCUGGACAUGCAGGCUGUCUCUAGGACUGCAUGUCAUCGCAGCGUCCAGGGGAGCAUGAGACAGGGGCCUCAGGCAGGCGGUGUGCUCCCCUCCUCCUUCUGAUCCUGUUCCCUGGAUGCUGAGCUUGGCCGGAGAAGCAGGGUCAGUGGUUCCACGACCCAUGGCUACUCCCCAGGCUCCAGGUGGACCCUGGCCAGGCCAACUGUGAGCCCUGGUUUCCUCAGCUCCCCAGCAUGUCGCCCGGUGGGACAGGGACACCUGAGAGGGGGACGGCAGAGGAGGGGUCCCCAUGGCCCAGGUGAGGUGGGAAGCCCCAUGAAAAAGAUGGCAGGACCCCCCCAGGCAGGGCCACUACCCUCCUGCCAGCACAUUUGGUUCCCUGGCCCAGCAUUAUUUCGCUUUUUAAAUUCUGAAACAGCUUACUU